AGAGACAGUGGCACAGUGGCUUUGAAGCAGGGCCUAGCUGCUACAAAGAAGACAUGUGUUAGACAAUACUCAUGUGUAUGGGCAAAAAACUCGAGGACUGUAUUUAUGACUAAUUGUAUAACAGGUUAUUUUAGUUUCUGUUCUGUGCAAAGUGUAAAGCAUUCCAACAAAGGGUUUUAAUGUAGAUUUUUUUUUUUGCACCCAUGCUGUUGAUUGCUAAAUGUAAUAGUCUGAUCAUGAUGCUGAAUAAAUGUGUCUUUUUU